rnacentral:rRNA from 1 species
GAGGCGACGAGUGGCGAACGGGUGAGUAACGCGUAGGAAUCUACCUAGUAGUGGGGGAUAGCCCGGGGAAACUCGGAUUAAUACCGCAUACGCCCUACGGGGGAAAGGCCGGGAUCUUCGGACCGGUCACUAUUGGAGGAGCCUGCGUAGGAUUAGCUAGUUGGUAGGGUAAAGGCCUACCAAGGCGACGAUCCAUAGCUGGUCUGAGAGGAUGAUCAGCCACACUGGAACUGAGACACGGUCCAGACUCC